UACGAAGGGGGCUAGCGUUGCUCGGAAUUACUGGGCGUAAAGGGCGCGUAGGCGGGUCGUUUAGUUAGAGGUGAAAGCCCGAGGCUCAACCUCGGAACUGCCUUCGAUACUGCGGGUCUCGAGUCCGGGAGAGGUGAGUGGAAUUCCUAGUGUAGAGGUGAAAUUCGUAGAUAUUAGGAAGAACACCAGUGGCGAAGGCGGCUCACUGGCCCGGUACUGACGCUGAGGCGCGAAAGCGUGGGGAGCAAACAGG
rnacentral:rRNA from 1 species